rnacentral:rRNA from 1 species
UAAACGACUCUCGGCAACGGAUAUCUCGGCUCACGCAUCGAUGAAGAACGUAGCAAAAUGCGAUACUUGGUGUGAAUUGCAGAAUCCCGUGAACCAUCGAGUUUUUGAACGCAAGUUGCGCYCGAAGCCAUUCGGCCRAGGGCACGUCUGCCUGGGCGUCACGCAU